AUUGAACGCUGGCGGCAUGCUUUACACAUGCAAGUCGAACGGCAGCAUGGGUGCUUGCACCUGAUGGCGAGUGGCGAACGGGUGAGUAAUGUAUCGGAACAUAUCCGCAAGUGGGGGAUAACGUAGCGAAAGUUACGCUAAUACCGCAUAUUCCCUGAGGGGGAAAGGAGGGGAUCCGCAAGGACCUUUCGCUACGGAGUGGCCGAUAUCAGAUUAGCUAGUUGGUGAGGUAAAGGCUCACCAAGGCGACGAUCUGUAGCGGGUCUGAGAGGAGGAUCCGCCACACUGGGACUGAGGCACGGCCCAGACUCCGACGGGAGGCAGCAGUGGGGAAUUUUGGACAAUGGGCGCAAGCCUGAUCCAGCCAUGCCGCGUGAGUGAAGAAGGCCUUCGGGUUGUAAAGCUCUUUCAGCUGGAAAAAAAUCGCUUCACCUAAUACGUGGAGUGGAUGAUGGUACCAGCAGAAGAAGCACCGGCUAACUACGUGCCAGCCGCCGCUGUAA
rnacentral:rRNA from 1 species